GUCUGAGAGGAUGACCAGCCACACUGGAACUGAGACACGGUCCAGACUCCUACGGGAGGCAGCAGUGGGGAAUAUUGCACAAUGGGCGCAAGCCUGAUGCAGCCAUGCCGCGUGUGUGAAGAAGGCCUUCGGGUUGUAAAGCACUUUCAGCGAGGAGGAAGGUGGUGAGCUUAAUACGCUCAUCAAUUGACGUUACUCGCAGAAGAAGCACCGGCUAACUCCGUGCCAGCAGCCGCGGUAAUACGGAGGGUGCAAGCGUUAAUCGGAAUUACUGGGCGUAAAGCGCACGCAGGCGGUUUGUUAAGUCAGAUGUGAAAUCCCCGGGCUCAACCUGGGAACUGCAUUUGAAACUGGCAAGCUAGAGUCUCGUAGAGGGGGGUAGAAUUUCCAGGUGUAGCGGUGAAAUGCGUAGAGAUCUGGAGGAAUACCGGUGGCGAAGGCGGCCCCCUGGACGAAGACUGACGCUCAGGUGCGAAA
rnacentral:rRNA from 1 species